rnacentral:rRNA from 1 species
GACGAACGCUGGCGGCGUGCUUAACACAUGCAAGUCGAACGGAAAGGCCCUGCUUUUGUGGGGUGCUCGAGUGGCGAACGGGUGAGUAACACGUGAGUAACCUGCCCUUGACUUUGGGAUAACUUCAGGAAACUGGGGCUAAUACCGGAUAGGAGCUCCUGCUGCAUGGUGGGGGUUGGAAAGGUUCGGCGGUUGGGGAUGGACUCGCGGCUUAUCAGCUUGUUGGUGGGGUAGUGGCUUACCAAGGCUUUGACGGGUAGCCGGCCUGAGAGGGUGACCGGCCACAUUGGGACUGAGAUACGGCCCAGACUCCUACGGGAGGAAGCAGUGGGGAAUAUUGCACAAUGGGCGGAAGCCUGAUGCAGCAACGCCGCGUGCGGGAUGACGGCCUUCGGGUUGUAAACCGCUUUCGCCUGUGACGAAGCGUGAGUGACGGUAAUGGGUAAAGAAGCACCGGCUAACUACGUG